GUAACAAGGGGAUAACGAAUAAGGUGAUUUAGGGGUAGGCUAUUACAUAAUAUAAUAGUUACAAUCUCUUGUUCGUAUGCGUUACUAUUCAAACAUCUUCAAUAUUUAUUACUUACUUUCCUUUCUAUUUGCCGACUAGCGAUGACUAGUCGGUUUUUUA
rnacentral:sRNA from 1 species